rnacentral:tRNA from 1 species
GUGGGGAUAGGUGAGAUGGUAGAGGAGAGGA